rnacentral:lncRNA from 1 species
GUGUAUGCUCUGGAAGGGACAAGACCAGGUACCUGUCGGGGGAUGCGGCCGUGGUACCAGGCAUGGCUGCGCAGGUCCUCGCUGCUCAGGAGCAGCUCCUCCUCCAGCUCCUUCUUCAGUUUCUCGGGGGUCCUGUCCAUGAUGUGCCUCUCCUUGGAGAACUGCAACACAGAGUCAACCAUGAGCUCACCCUGCCCAGGCCACACCAGGCCAUGCCAGCUGGAGGUGACCGCCUGCUUCACUAAUCCAACCAGUUAUGCUACAGCCUGCAUUCAGGUAGGGGAGCCUGGAUAAUGAUUACAAAGAGCUGUGACCUUUCGUUUCUCCGGCCGCAACCAUGUAAUAAAAUUUUCACCUGCACAUGGGGACUAUGGUAGGAGAGUCCACCAAGAGGUUCCUUUUACCAGUCUACUCAAGCAGCUGGGCAGGAAGGGCCAGAGAGAUGUACAGACAGCAAGACACAGCAGCCCAGCCUGCUCUCUUCCCAGCGGAGAGCUUCCUCAUUCUCCUUCAGGACUGUCCUGACAUAGCGUGGGGAGGGCAGCUGUUCCCUUCUGGCCUUAGAUCCUGGGCCUCUGGGCAGUGAGGCCCAAAGCACAGUCCUUGGGCUGGUAGCGAUGGCCCUAACUUCUUUGCUGUUGGUAAACUCAUGUUCAGGAAUUGAGUCAGUCUUUAGAAACUUUUAGGGCAAAUGGACAGAGCAAUUUUAUGUCUCUUGAAUCUAAUAACAGAAGUCUGUCUUUAUUUCACAUUUCUAAUAUUUCAUUUUUAUGACAGAUAGGAAAGUGAAACAAAUUUAAAAAGACAACCCUGGUCCUUCACCUCAGAUGUUUGAGAAUCAGUGGUCUGCGGCGUUGCACAGUGGCCAUGGCAGUGAGUGCUGGGUGGACAGCGGUGGCUCCAGGUUUAAUUUAGAACCAUGCCUGCUUACAACAUGUGAACUGAACCUGGAAACCUGCCCAGUUCCCAGCAAGACCAGGCAUGCUGACCAGGAACCGCUUGCUGAAAGUCCCAUGAACAGAAAAAGGCUGUGUCCCUGUGGUUCUCCCAAGUUUCCCAGCUUGUCCUUCAAACCCCCAUGGGAGCCACAAAAUUAUUACUUAUCACACUACUUUUUAAAAAUGUUUAUUUAUUUUAUUUUUUUUGAGACAGGGUCUCACUGUGCUAGAGCACAGUGGUGCAAUCUCAGCUCACUGUAGCCUUGGCCUCCUGGGCUCAAGCAACCUCCUGGGCUCAAGCGAUCCUCCCAUCUCAGCCUCCCUGGUAGCUAGGACUACAACAGGCACGUGCCACCAUGCCUGGCUAAUUUUUGUAAUUUUUUUUUUAGAGAUAGGGUUUUGCCAUGUUGCCCAGGCUGGUCUCAAACUCCUGGGCUCAAGCGAUCCACCCACCUUGGCCUCUCAAAGUGCUGGGAUUACAGGCGUGAGCCACCAUGCCCGGCCUAUUACACUACUUUGCACGUCAGCAAAGAAAUAGCUCCAAAUCCUUUUCCACCAAACAACAACAACAACAACAACAACAACAAAGCCCUGGAAUUUUAGGGCUAGAUUCUCAUCCUCUAGUGCUUCUUUGCACAUUGGCCCAUAAGGAGCGCUAGCUGAAGAGUAACUCAGGGGCUGAUUUUUAGAUGGGGCUCUGGCUUACUAUUUGUUUACUUCUCCCUCCUUCUCACUGGGCAGACACUCACUUGGGAGUGUCUGAAGGAUGGAAUUUGCAUCAAAGAGAUGCGGACGCUGGCUGUCCAGGGUGCCUGCAGGCUUUAGACGGUGAUGUUUGACACCGUCCGCUCCCAUCAUUAAUAUUGUACGGCUUCAUCUGAAGACAGCUUGAGUGUGGAAUGCAGUUUGUCAACUCGGCCACGCUUUAUUGUUCGUUUAUUGUCUGACUUGCCUCCCACUAGACUGUAAGUUUCAUGAAAACAGAAAUCCAUCUACUUUUUCCCCACUGCCCUUGAGCAAUGCCUGAAAACAUCAGGCACUGGGUAUUCAGUAAACAAAUACCCUAGGAUGAGAAAAGAUGCUGACUUUGCUUAGUUAUGGAGAUUCUCCCUUUCGCCCUCAAGUCAUCUGAAGCCCUGUUUUCGCUGGGCAUGCUGCCAUUCAGCCAAAAGACCACAUUCCUCAAUCUCUGUCUCUUCCAGGGAGAUGUGGCCACAGGACUCAGUUCUGACCAAGGAGCUGAGAUGUGAUGGCUGGAGACUCAACACCAUUCUGGACGCCAAAAAGAGCUGGCCUUGGCUGGAAGGUUCUGGCUAGGAGGAGAGGGCUAAAGCAUGCGAAGGCACAACAAUGAUGGAACUGAGCGAAGAAGAUACUCUAUCCCACUUCAGUGAAAACAUCAUGAGGCUUGAAGCAUGGAAGUUGCCUCACCCCCGUGUUUCCUGCCAGGUGGAACAAAGUGCUGAGAGAAUCAAACCAGCAAGCAAAGAGAAGAGGAGCAAGAGAUGGAAAGUGACCUCUAGCAUGCACAUCCCUAAGCCCCAGCUGAUUAUAUCAGCCGGCAAACUCCUCUUGUGACCUAGGCUAGUAUGAGUGGAAUCCCUGUCACUUGUGACCAAAGCAGUCCUGACCCAGAAACGCAGGGACUGGCUGAGGGCAGCCCAACAUUGGUGGCUGAGGGUUUAGACCAUCACACUCCAGAAAGUCAGAGUCACGGAAAAUCUUUGCCCAGGAAGGCAACAGGUAUAUAAAAAGAUACUUUUAGAGAGAUCUGGCUGCAGUGAGAGCAAUGGGCUGGAUGGGGCCAGGGCUGGAGGCACAGGUCAGAGUCUUUUGAAAUGUGCUGACAACGCCCAGAUCUCCAUCUCCAGCCCUUAGGGUCGGUGCCUGGUAGGGAUAUUUACUGGAAUCCGCAUUAAAGCUCAGAUGUCAAUAUG